rnacentral:hammerhead_ribozyme from 1 species
UCAUUGCUGAGGAGUCCCACAACAGGACGAAACGGCCGUCCAGUGC